GGAGUCUUCGAUGGAGAUGUCAUGGGGCGAUUAAUUUAAUUCCUCAAAGUGAAUAUUGUGGCUGCAUUACCUCCACUGAUUUUGCUGUUUUCUGUUUGUGGAGAGUUUUGAUAAGAUUGUUGUUUAAUUUUCAGUAGAAUUUUUACUAAUGCCUCGAUCAUGAACUGGAUUGAGGGUUUUUGCUUGUUAGGAUUAAUUAUAUAAUUUGACCAACUGUUUGGGAGUAUAUUUCAUUUAUUUUUUUUUUUUGUAUAA
rnacentral:misc_RNA from 1 species